UUUCAUAGAAAAGAUGAGAUAUGUGGAUGUAAUUAGUUUUUCCCUCUGCCCCCUAACUUAUCAACUUCUCUGUUUGAAUAUUCAUAUUCAUUAGUCUAAUAUUUGUGAUAUGUAGUUAAUGUGCAUGUUUUGGUUGUAGUGUGGUAGUUAUAUACAAGUUUAUCUAUUUCAUAUCAUGGUCAAUUCUGUGUGUAUACUCAAGAACAAAUACCUCUAUGCUUAGAUAUAUUAUUGAGGGACCUUUAACAAGUAUUUUCAUCAGUUAUUAAUCAAAUGUCAUACUGUUGGUGUUAUGUUUUUAUCUUUUUUUUUUAUCAUGUAAAACUUCACUAUCAAUACCAUACAUUCCUAGGAAUUCAUGAUAAAAUUUAUUAAAAUAUUAGAAGGAAGAAAGUGUUAUGCUAGAGAUUUCAUUUUAAAUAAAUGAUUACAGUAUGUUAGAUCAUCUUUUUUUUUUUAAAUAAUAAUAAUAAAAAAAAAUGCGCAACAACUUUCUUUCGAUUUUAAUGACAAAAAGCUAAAGUUCUUACUUGAGCUCCUAAAUAAGAAAGUAUUCCUCUCCUUGAAGUUAUUUUCCAGAUCUUUGAAUAAAAUGCUUUAACAUACCUCUAACCAUUCCCUUGUUUUAAAUAUACGGUUAAAAUAUAGCAUUAACCGGCAACUAAGGUCUUUUGGAUCAGACUUGAUAAUAGUCUUUAGAAUUUUUUCUUGUCUUAAUUAAACUAGCUUUCACAUUGUGCAAAAAAAAAAAAAAAAUUCUUUUCGUGAUUUCUGUUAGACUUAAUAUUGUUCUUAAAUUUGAGAUAAAACAUGGUUGCUUGAAACUCUCUUUCUUUUUUUGUGGUCAAUGAUUUGAGUUCUAUCUUGUUGUGAUCUUAUAUGUUAAAUUAUUUGUUAUCGAUUUACCGAAGCAUAUGGUUUGUUAACUCCCUUUAUCCUUUAUACCAUGCAUAUGAUAUCGAGUCCAUCAGACUCCAAUCCUGCCCUCCUUGCAUCUCUUUUGUUUGUUGGGACGAACCCAACAACUCUCCGAGUCAAUCCCCACGCCAAAUGUCACGAAAGGGAAGUAUCAACAUAGCUUUCGGAAGCUUCCACAAAACAGUACGCAGAUACACAAGUCUCAGAAAGCUGAAAACAGGCUGAGAUACAACCUUUAUACAUUGAUAUACAUCGGUAUACACUCGUAUACAGGUCACAAAGUGUGAAAAUACAGGUCUGAGGUAA
rnacentral:lncRNA from 1 species